AUAUUUUAUUGAACACAUUAUUUAUUUUUAUUUUAUUUUUGUAAAAAUAGUUUUAUAUAUUAAAAGUUACACGCCCAUUCUGAUGUCACAUCAUUUCUGAUUCCAUGAUUCAUGCUGACAUUUUUUUAAAAUUAUUCAUACUAAUCAAGAUAAUUCAAAUACAUAAGAAGUUGAUAGAAUUGUUAAAUAAUCGACUGAAUUGAGCUUAGAAUGAGUUCUUAUCAUUACGUUUUGUAUAUUGUGAGAAAAAUACAUGUUAUACAAAUGAUAAAAUAAAUCCAAUAAUUGUAAUUUUACAAAGUAAGAUUUCAUAAAAUUUGUUUUUGAAAAUCUGUUGCAAAAAAUAAACUUAAAAUAUUUUAUGUCGUGUUCGUGUCUAAAUCAAAGUCUGUACUGUAUAUUUUUAUAUUACUAUUAUAUAGUUAUUGUGAUUUUCCAAAUAGGUAUAAAAACAUUUUAAUAUUUGUUUUAUGAUAAGUGUUUCGGUUGCAAGCAUUCUUGAUGUUUGAUGUUUGAUGAUGUAUGAUGUUUUUUUUAAACAAUUUCCUUUAAAAAGAAUUCAGGCUAUUAUUGUUUUGUACGUUAAAUUGUUUUGUAAUGAUGAAACCUCAAAAUAUAACAAUAAAAACGAUUAAA